UACGUGUGGUGUGGCUUCAUCACGGCGACUAGAAACCCUUUGCCAAUUUUACAGGGCUUAGUUUAGUAAACACUGUAUGUUGUGAAACUGUCUUUAUGCCGUGAUGAAGUUACAUGCUAGGAAGUCCGCACCAAGUCUCUUUAAAACCAAUAAAGAUCUUUGCCCGCCUCGGAUAUGGAACUCUCUAACCCUGAAAAAUAAAUAGAGUUGGUUAGAGAAAAUGACAGAGUGAUAAAUUUUCCCACCUUGCAAUACAUCAAACUCAGAAUACCAAAUACCAUUUGUUUGGAAUCCAGUAGAAUUAAUGGCGUUUUUGCCAUACAGCUAUAUACCGUGUACCUGCUAUAUCUUAAAAUUACUACAAAGUCAAAAAAAGGUUUCAUAAUGUAUUAGGCAUGUUAUUUGUAUGGCAGUCAGGCAUGAGUUUCCAAACCAAAACUGCCACCACUGCUUUGACUUAGAGCCCGAGAGAAAUGAUCGUCCACAACUGUAGAUAUAUCUCCAGAAAAAUAAUUUUUUUUAAAGAAAUCAGCUGAGUUGCGAAAUAAAAAGUAUUCACGCCAUCAUAUAUUAUAUUUUUGUUUCAAGAAAUAAAGGGAAACAACUCUUAUUUUUGGAAAUUUAGUGUGACCGGAAGUUGAAUGCUUUCUACCACAGAUGGAGCAACAUGUUGACAUGACUUGAUAUAAGCAACGUCUUGCUCAGAAGUACGCAUAUGGGGUUCACAAUGGAAAUCUUGAGAAACACAAACUGGAAGUAGCAUAUUAGUACACGUGUAACUAUAUUAUCCGCCCUAACAUAACCAAUCAAGACACCAUGCCCGUAGC